rnacentral:rRNA from 1 species
AACGCGAAGAACCUUACCUACUCUUGACAUCCAUAGGACCUAGUAGAGAUAUUGGGGUGCCUUCGGGAACUAUGAGACAGGUGCUGCAUGGCUGUCGUCAGCUCGUGUCGUGAGAUGUUGGGUUAAGUCCCGUAACGAGCGCAACCCUUAUCCUUAGUUGCCAACAGGUCGAGCUGGGAACUCUAGGGAGACUGCCGGUGAUAAGCCGGAGGAAGGUGGGGACGAGGUCAAGUCAUCAUGGCCCUUACGAGUAGGGCUACACACGUGCUACAAUGGCCGGUACAAAGGGAAGCAAAGCUGUGAAGUGGAGCGAAUCUCAGGAAAGCCGGUCGUAGUCCGGAUUGGAGUCUGCAACUCGACUCCAUGAAGUUGGAAUCGCUAGUAAUCGCGGAUCAGAACGCCGCGGUGAAUACGUUCUCGGGCCUUGUACACACCGACGCGUA